rnacentral:rRNA from 1 species
UACAGAGGUCUCAAGCGUUGUUCGGAUUCAUUGGGCGUAAAGGGUGCGUAGGUGGUUUGUUAAGUUGAAGGUGAAAUCUCGGAGCUCAACUCCGAAACUGCCUUCAAUACUGGCGAACUCGAGGACUGUAGAGGAGAAUGGAAUUCACGGUGUAGCAGUGAAAUGCGCAGAUAUCGGGAGGAACACCUAUGGCGAAGGCAGCUCGCUGGGGCGUUACUGACGCUGAGACGCGAAAGCGUGGGGAGCAAACAGG